rnacentral:rRNA from 1 species
UGGGGAAUAUUGGACAAUGGGCGCAAGCCUGAUCCAGCCAUGCCGCGUGAGUGAUGAAGGCACUAGGGUUGUAAAGCUCUUUCACCGGUGAAGAUAAUGACGGUAACCGGAGAAGAAGCCACGGCUAACUUCGUGCCAGCAGCCGCGGUAAUACGAAGGGGGCUAGCGUUGUUCGGAUUUACUGGGCGUAAAGCGCACGUAGGCGGACUAUUAAGUCAGGGGUGAAAUCCCGGGGCUCAACCCCGGAACUGCCUUUGAUACUGGUAGUCUUUAGUUCGAGAGAGGUGAGUGGAAUUCCGAGUGUAGAGGUGAGAUUCGUAGAUAUUCGGAGGAACACCAGUGGCGAAGGCGGCUCACUGGCUCGAUACUGACGCUGAGGUGCGAAAGCGUGGGGAGCAAACAGG